UACGUAGGUGGCAAGCGUUGUCCGGAAUUAUUGGGCGUAAAGCGCGCGCAGGUGGUUUCUUAAGUCUGAUGUGAAAGCCCACGGCUCAACCGUGGAGGGUCAUUGGAAACUGGGGAACUUGAGUGCAGGAGAGAAGAGUGGAAUUCCACGUGUAGCGGUGAAAUGCGUAGAGAUGUGGAGGAACACCAGUGGCGAAGGCGGCUCACUGGCCCGGUACUGACGCUGAGGCGCGAAAGCGUGGGGAGCAAACAGG
rnacentral:rRNA from 1 species